CCGCCGGGGUGAGUCACUGGGAGGGUGUGCGCCCCUCGUGGGCGGUGCCGGGAGCCUGGGGGCCGGGCCGCAGGGGCUGGGGCGGGGGGCGGGGCCUUCGGGGCCCCGCCCCCAGUCGGGGCAGGACAGCUCCCCCCACUUCCUCCCGUGAAGCUGCCUGAACCAUGGUUUCAUCUCGAAGGGUAAAGAGAGCUGUGGAGUGAGCACAGGCCCAGUGGCCAGUGACACUGGGAUGAAGCUGUCUGAGGGGGUUUUCCAGGGCACAUGGCCCUCUGGCUGUGGCCAUGCACUGGGGGCCCUGCCCUGGGCUCUGCCCCACAUUCACACAACUCACCUGCCACACCCUCUGGGGGGGGCUUUGUCUCCUAGCCCCCUGUCUAUCCAUCCACUUCGGAUAGGACAGAGCCCCUAGAGCCCAGGCACCAUGACACGGGAGUCAGUGGUUCCUAACAAUGGGCUCCUUCUGGGGACCCACUGCUGGGACACCUGCAGCCCAUCCUCUUCCGAAGACACUCAGAGGCGGAAGCCCUGCAGAACCAGGCUGGCAGCCUCUGUGGUCACUUGAGCCUGUGGAACCAGAAGGAAGCUGGCAGGUGUGGCUUGCUCCAGGUGCCCCCACUGCCACCCCACACCUUUGACUCAGAGCUACAUCAAGUCCCUCAUCAUGGAGGUUCUGGAACCCCCUUCCUCUCGCUGGCCUGAAGUCCUUCACGUCCCCACGGUGGUCUGCCGCUGCUGUCAAACCUGGUGCCUUGGAUGGCUCACUGCCCACCCACUCCACCCGGUCUGGGAGCCGGGACCCAGCAGAGGUGGAGAACCACCUGGGACCAGGGCUCAGCUCCCCCUCCUCCUGCUGGGGGACCAGCUCCAUCCAGGUGCUCCACCUGCCAGCUGUGGACUGUAUCGAGGCCUCGCCGGCGUGUCCCCUGCUGUUACACCCCCACGCCCCAGGUGCCACGGGUGCAUUUUAGAGGAAGCUGUAAAAUCCGCGAAGUCGUCCCUGCAGACACGGCAGCCUGUUUCAGGAAAACUGAUCACCUGCCUCCUGCCUCCUGACUUCUCAUUUGGGAGGGUCCUGACACCCCCAGCCUGCCAGCCGGGCCCCCGAGCCACCCUCCAAGGCUGGGCUGGUGGGGAGGAGGCAGCGCUGGGGCGGCUUCCCCCCCGGGGCUGUGGCCAGGGGACCUGCCGCUCGGCCGGGGGCUCGCUCUGGGGAGGGCGUGAUGGCGCAGACCUGCCCACCAAGAAGGGCACUGGCGACCACCAGCAGCUGUGCUGGGAAGAGCCCACACACGUGUCCAGCUGCGCGGGGAGGGGCCACGCCCCGCGGGUCAGAUGCGACUCGGAAGCGAGUGUUGAGCACUUUAUUAAAGCUGGUGGCGGUAGGUACAUCGGGCGGCCCCCUAGCUCGGGGCUGCGAGGUCUCCUCCAGGGACAUGGGGCCGCUGGCCUGCGCCCUUCGCUGAGACCCGGAGGUGUUUGAAGGCGGUGGGCAGCGUGCGGCCCAGGAACGGAGGGGCGGUCACGUCCUGGACCAUGACGACGUACUCCCCUGCAAGAGACGGGCGCUCGACUCGCUCCCCAGCUGCCCCCGCCUGCCAGGCUUCUGCCCCCCCAGAGCCUCUCUACCCCUCGUCAGCGGCACCCCGAGCCCCACUUCCUGAUCUGGGGCUCCUGACUCAGGGCCCCUCCGGGGCUCCGGGCCCUUCUCCUCUGGGACCCUGGGACCUGGUUGCUGUCUUGCUUGGGUGGCUGGCUGUACAACAGAGGUGGAUAAAUGACUUUGGGGUGAAUGAAGCCGCCUCCAACCUCAGGACACAGCUCAGCUCCACAGGGUGAGCUGCGUUCAAGGUCUCCCCUCCUGGCCAGUGGGGCUACGUGGCUGAGGGCAGCCGUCCUUUUGAAACUACUUUCCUAUCUUUUUAGGAGAAAAAUAAUUCAC
ensembl:lncRNA